AAGUACUAAAGUGUGAAUAAAAACAUCUGAAAUCAAUGCAUAAAGAUAACCAUCAACCCUGUGAUGAUAAAACUAGAGUAGCCCGAUAUGUCGAAGGAGAAAUACUACACUCACAAAGUGAUCUACCUCCAGACAUGGGUUAAGAAUUAAUAUGAUAACAGGCUUACAACGAGCUCCCUAAAUAAGCUGCUUUGGUGCACUCGAAGACUUGGUGGGAACCUAAGCAGACUCUUAUGGAACAAGGACUGUAGAAAAGCAACUUAAACACUGGGCAGAUGCUUUCAUCCUACUUUAUCAAUGGGAAAAAGAAAAAGAAAGACCAAUCAACAACUGAAUAAAGAAAACUGGAUGUCUCCAAUGCAACAUAGAUACUUAUAAGAAGGUCCUUUAGGAAGUGAUACAUGUAGAUAAAGAUACAUAAAAGUUGAUGUGCAUGAUCGUAACAGAGAAACACUAAGGUCAUACAUCAUAACCUUCCGGUCUAUGUCCCAGCACUCAGAAAAUGGUAUAUUGGUAAAAAGAAAUCAUAAUAAACAUACUUUGAGUUUUAAUAUCAUUAAGAGGGUUUUAUUUUUUUCCCUGUUUUUUCUUGGGUAAGCCAUUAGAAAAAGGGAUGACACAAAAAAUGUCCCAUGAGCUGGCAUUUGAAUUUCUCCAAAUUAUUUAAGCCAUCAUUAAUUAUGAGUCCUAUCAUUAAUUAUAAGUAAUUAAUUGUUUGAUUAACGUCUUUUAGUUUUUCAUGUGAACUUCUAGUAUUAUGUGUCAUCUCUUAGUACUUCAUGAUGUCUUUUUUCAUAUUUUGCACUUUCAUCCCUUCUAGUCAAGGGUGAAUUGAUUGUUUUAUUUUGUCUGCAUAGAGAUGGGGACACGUCUCAUGUCUAUGCCUAUAUAUAGGGGCACUUUGUAUGGAAUAAGAUAUAUAGUGAUAAAUUUGACAAGUUGAAUGAAAAUUCAGCAUUUGGCAUUGGAGUUGGAGUUCUCCUUUUUUAUCUUAUGCUCCUAUCCUCUUGGUGGAUUCCUUGUGGGAGAAGAGCAUUUACCUGAUUCCACUUGUGCUAUCUCCUUACCUCCGACUCGGCAUUUGAUCCCCUAAUUCUGGUGUCAAGGGAUAUAAGGUAUAAAAAAAGUAAAGGUCACAAAAAAAGAGUGAAUUUUCCCAGUGAUUAGUUCUUGUGUGAGCACUUAUUAAUUUCUAGCUGGUAGGUGGCUUCAUUUUGAUCCAAAUUGUUUAUAAAUAUCAUGGAUUGAUAAGGAUGAAGGAGGUUCAACCAUUAUCAUCAAGUGCUGAAGACUGUAUAAGAGCAGGGGCAGAGUGGUAGUUUGGAAUUAUAGGAUGAUACUUUCUCCAAGCUUUCAAUGUAAACUUCUUUUUCUCCUAUAAGUUUUUAAUCUCUUAAACUUCAAGGUUAAGCCUCCUCCUUCCUAGCCAUCCAUGAUGACACUUGAGCCUCUUCCAUCCCAAACCAUAGAAAAUUUGAACUGAUACUGAUUUAAUAUAGGUUGUAAAACUGAUCACAUUGAUAUCUACCAAUUUUUCAUCUACCUAAAAGAAAAUCACCUAUUGAGUGUUGAUUUGUCACUUGUCUUAACUAGUUUUACGGUGAAUUUUGCACUCAAUCUCAUUUACGAGCCUUCUAACCCUGCACCUUUGCCUUUAUCUCGAUCUCUUCUUAUACCUCAGUUCUAGCACUCUCUGUUGAAAGAAUUAUAUUCAAUUGUUUAUCCUUUAUUGAGUUACCUAUUGUUUCUACUUCUCAGAAAUUAAUCAAGAAGCCACAAGGAUUACCUGUUUCCUUUUCCUAGUAUUCAAAUAAACUUAUUAUUUCACUAUCUCAAUUUCAGUUGAUUCAUCUAUAGAAUCCUCACAUUUUAAUUUUUUUUGGAAAAAAUCACAUAGCCCAAACAAAAAUCAUCCACCAGUCCUCCAUGGAAGACAAGCAAAAUGAUCAAGAAUUGGAAUCCAAUUGUGGAAGAACAAAACAGAAUAUCAUUAUAAUAUGUCUCUUGGAUACGUAGACUAGCUAGAGGUAUUCAGAAAAUCCACUCAUUAGGUGGAAGAAAUAGGAAAUAAACUGAUUUCGAUCCAAAACUCAAUACUAGUGCCUCAUCUAACAAAGGUAAAAUAGUAUGUUUCUUUAGGUUCCCCCCUGAGAUAAAUCUACAAAGCACUCAUAUAUGUGUUAGUUUCAUCCAUCUUAUUUCUCAGUGAAAUUCUAUACGGAUCAAGUUGCGACCUGCAAACCAUGACAUUUGCCAAUUAUCUGUGACUAAUCCAAUGCUUUGGGAGAUAUUUAUUUGGCCUACACAUAAUUACAUCCAGAAAGCAAGAUAAAAUCAAAGUCAUCAUAUAGAUGUAUAUUGUAUACAUUCACCAAAUUUGCCACAGAAAACUGUGAAAAUCUCCUCCACGUCAAUGCUUUUCACAGCUGCAAUUUCCACUUGGUCAAUUUCUAUAGGAUUUGCCCAGUUACCAACAAAAAAGAAAAGCAGAGGUAAGAAUUUAUUGAAAUUUUGCCUUCUGAUGGAUCUAAAUUAGUUCAGAUGUAUAACCUUCCCUUUGAAAAAGAAUUUAUAGAGAGAAAGAGAAGGCAUAAUUUGUUUUUUUUGCUUCUUCAUUGCUUAUUUUCUUCCUAUAUAAGUUUGUUUUACCUACCCUAAUUUCUCAAAUUAAUUCAUUUUAUUCCCCCUCCAUAAAAAAUAUAAGUUCCUUUCACUCUAUUAGGCUCAUGUUCGAAUAAUUAUUCUAAACUUCCCCUUACACUAAUCUUUCUUUACUUUUUUUCCCUGACUUGUCUCGGUACACCCCAAAAUAGAGUGCGCUUAACUACCAAAAAAUAACAGAACAUAUUUUCACUCCAUCUACCAGCGUCAUGAAGAACAAUUUGCAAUGCAUAUGACAGUAGAUUGAAGCUCCAAAUUCAGCAAAGAUAUAUUAUCAAUCAGAGUGUCUUUAAUUGUUAAAAAUAGAAAAAGAAGUGUAGCUUUGUUUGUUUGAAAAACUAAAAAAUGACAAAAAUAAAUAUUUCACAAGUGGUUUACAUCCAAUCUAUACUGAAGGAGUGAAUUUUCUUUAGAGUUUCAAGUGAUUCUACUUAUUUCACAUACUGAAAUAAACAGUUGGCUGAUUGUCAAUUACCCAUGUAAGCUAACUAAUCAUAUCUUAAGAAAAAGUCAAAUAACUUCGCACUGUUCGCAACAAUACCAAGAAUCAGAUAUACUCCCACCUUAAAUAGCCUUGCAAAUUUAUAGCCAUAUUUCACAUGUAUUAAAUAUGACUAAUGCCAAAGCAUAUAUGAUCCAUCAGCAAGUUCAGCUAGAAGCAGAGUAGCCAAAUAAUCCAGAAUAGCAGACAAGGAACCAACCAUGUAUCAAAAGGAUGCAACAACUAGGAGACGAUAAUACUGAAAGAAACUAAGCUAAGCAUAAAUAAUAACGAAUCAAAUUCUAAAAUUUAUUUCAAUACCUAGUUUAGUCAUCUAACAAUGUUGAUAUUUAUCAAAAGUAGGCCUUUUCUAUGCUUUAAGUACCAAACUACGAACUAGGGUUUCUAAAUUUAUAAAAACAAAAGCCCUAGAAGGGCAAGCAGCCUGAUUUAGACUAUUCAAUUCAAGCCUAUAAAUUUUCUUCAUAUUUUUCCUUCGCUUUCAACUCCAGUGAGGACUUAGGGUUCAAAGUUAAGCAAAAAAGAAACUAAUCGACCCACAAAAACUAGCAAAGGAGGGAACAUUCCUAGGGUUUUGGAUCAAGAGGCAUUAAUCCAAAACACCACAGAUUAAUUCAGAGGAGAAAUCGGAGUACCUGCAUGGUUCUCGCUGGAAAUUCGCUCUCGAGCUUGGAAGGGGAUCGCCCUCAGCCGGUCUGCCCAACAUUUUAGAUAUUGGGGGCACGAGGCGGCGGAAGACCGCGCGUAUAGAAAUUUCUAUGCGGUCUCCAAGUUGGACCCGGAUCUGAGCCAUUUGGGAUCUAUAUGGCCUUCUCAACAGAGCCAAUAUGGACCGCCUAAGGCCCACCGCAGUCCCAAAAAAGCUCCCUGCGAAACAGUUCCAAAUCCCACAGGCAUUUCAGUUUUUCUGGCUGUUCUCCUCUCCCCCCUCCUCGGCUUCUCGGAGUUCUCUCCUCUCCAGAGAAAGAAGGGGAGCCAGAGAGCUGAGAGAGAGAGGUUUUUCAUUUCUGAGAGAGACUCUCCUCUCUCGGCAGGAGCCGCAGGACAUCUCCCUUCGAGGCCGGGGCGCGAGUCGCGAGAGCGAACCGGCGAAGAACGCUUCUAGAUCUGGCGCCGGCAGGUGGAAGUAGCUGUUCUUGGCCUCUUGGGCGAAGCCCUCGCCGGCGACUUCUUCUCCUUCGGCGGCGGGCACGGCAGCACCGCCGGGAUCCGGCACUCCACCCUCUUCGGCGUCUCCCGCCAGUCUCUCUUUCUUCUCUCUCCCAGAGGACCCAGACAAGCCCUCUUUGGCUCUUUCUCUAUUUUUUCAGGCAAGCCCUCUUCCCUCUUCGACUUGAGAAUGCAAGGAAAGCCUCGACUUGAGAAUGCAAGGAAAGCCUCGACUUGAGAAUGCAAGAAAAGAUAGUCUUUUCAAGUUGCCCCCUGACGUUCCAAUUUUUUCACGUUGGUUCUUUCUUCUUUAAAAAUUUGCAAUCAAGUCCCCUAUAUUUUCUGACGCAAUGUGAAUCCAGUGAUACAACCGUGGUGGGCAUCAGAAGACCAGAACAGCCAUAGCUCUCAUCCCAAGAGGAUUUAGGAUGGUUAUUUGGACUAAAAUAUCAGUCACAAAAAUAGUAAUUUCUUGAUUAUCAAUUUCCUCAUCCAAAAAAAAAUAUUUUUAACUAAUGAAAUAUAUUUUCUUUUUUUCUUUUUCUAAUCUUUGAAGUUUGAAUUCAUGAUUGUUUUGCUUCUAGGAUUUCAGUUCUUGUUAUUCUUGUUGCGACUUCGGCUCUUCUCCAACUCCACCCGUCAGUCUCCAGCACCGUUUCAAAUGUCUAAUAGAAAAUAUGAAUAUAAAAAAAAGUACAAAUCCCAUGCUUGUAUGGAGACCCAUGAUCCAUAUGGACUAUGAAUCAAAUCUGCUCUAAUACUAUUUAUAAAAAUUUAGAAACGCAUCAAAAAAGUAUUAUUUAUAUUUUUUAGUCCUAUAAUGAUCACCAAAAAAAAGGAUUUGUCUGACUGACAAGUUAUGCAUUACUCCUUUGCAAAGCAAGCUAGCUAACACUUAUUAUGAAUCAAGUGGUAGACAUUUGACUUAGUUAUUAGCACAAUGAUGCUCUCAUGCAAAUUAUUGUCAUAUGUAUUGUUUUCAUAAGCUCAUCUUUCCUCGUAAAUUAUAUGUAUUGUAUGGAGAGAAUUAGCGAAAGGUAUAUAGUGCAUGAUCUUUAGAAACAAAUUUUCGGGUGAAGAAGAUAUAAUCAAGUUAGCAAGCAGAUUGUUUUGGCCGCAUUAGCUGGACUUAAUUUCCUCUCUCAGGACUGCUAUUGCUAUUAGAGUAUUCCAACAAGCUAGGAUUUCAGUGAGCAAAUCCAGUUGUAUUUUUCAUUUUAUUCUUGUCAGGAUGGAGUGUAAUCUCUUCUUGUUAAUUAGCUUUAUGUUCUUCUCAUCACUACUCCUCCUUGGUUAACUUCCAGCUGAGACCUGACAUGGAGAAGAGGGUAGAAACAGGAACAUGUCUGUUGUUUACUCUCAAAAGGAAAUGUUCUGCUGUUCCUCAAAUGUAUACAGAUUUUUAGCCAUCUUUUAGAUUUCCAGACAUGCACGCGUGCGAGACAGGAACAUCUCAGACUCUUCUAAAAUGAUAGAGUUUGUCCCCGGCAAUCUAUGGCUGCAUUCGAUAACAAAUGAAGUGGUCUUCUCCUCACUGUUUGUCAUGGCUGCUCCUUUUGUUUCUCUCUCUCAUAUCACUGUGAAAGACAACCAGAAAGACCCCACAUUAAUAGAAUUUUCACUGCUGCACAAGCUUACUUCCAAUUUUUUGUUUCCUUUCAUGAGAUGACCUAAUUUGAGUCUACGUAUACAGAUGUUGUGGGACACCAAAAGAUGCACAGUUCUGAUUUUAGAUGUACUUUCCACUAUGUGUUGAGAUCUAACAAUUUCCAAGAUCAACCAAACAUUGAUAAACUCUUGGUUCACAAAGAUAUUGUUUGCUUGAUUAUCAAUUCUGUUGUCUUGGAAAAGGUGAGGUGCAAUUGGGACUAUUAUAAUGCAGGAUCCGACCAUUAUUCGGCUUGACCCGGACCUAAUCCAUAACCAAACUUAAUAAUUAUGCCUUAAAAAGUUCAAAAUUAAGAAAGAAACCAUCCCAAACCUAUCGAUUCAUGGGUUGGAUCUUCUUUGACAUCUCAUAAGAUCCAUUAACUUGAAGCCAAUUUGGGUUGGAUCUAGGUCCAGUCAGACUUAAUCCAAUCCAACCCAACUUUCCCACUUCCAGUGAUGGGAAAGGUGCAGCUUUACAAGAAGAGGAGAAAGUGGGGAAGGAUCCAUUGUCUAGCUGUAAUUUUUAAAUCUCUACAACUUUUAUGGAUUUUAGUUGCCUUGAUUUAACAAAAGAAGAAAAAGAAGCAUUGCUUAUUGGAGGACUUUCCCCCCUCCUGCUUUCUUGUUUUCUGUAAUAUAUCCUUUCUUUUAAUCAUCAUUUCUGACAUUGACAUCUCCAUCUAUGUAUCAUCCUAUGUUCAAUCCAUAAUUAGAUUGACUAAAACAUGUUCAGUAAUGAAAAGUGAGAUCCACUAUUAUUAAUUAGCAAAUUUGGGGCUUGGUCACUGCUGAAUUUUAUAUCUAAGCUAACAAGAAGCAUUAAAUGAGUAAGAUAUCAGAGCACCAUUCAUUGCCCCCACCUUUUAGGUCUCAAAUCUUUUUCCAUGCCAUCACUAUGGAGCAAUGAUAAUUCAAUGUGAUAUUAGCAGCACCAAUUGUGUUAGAGAGAGAGAGAGAGAGCUUUACAAGGAUAAAAAGUAACUUUUUAGUAUAAUCAUGAACAACAGAAGAAGCAGAUCAUCAGAAGCAAUAUUAGCUUUACAACAGAAGCUUCUUCUGUUCUAUUUUCACUCCAGAGAGAUACAUCUGAUCACAACCAAUCCCCAUAUAUAAAAAAUAUAAGUCAGAAAAAUUGAAACAAAAGAGUGACACAGAAUAUAGGUUCUUAAAAGGGAACACUAGUAAUGGAAGAUCCUCUCUCAACUAUCUCCAUUUCUGUGGUCCCAUAGAAGGGCAGAUUAAUUCAGAGGAGAAAUCGGAGUACCUGCAUGGUUCUCGCUGGAAAUUCGCUCUCGAGCUUGGAAGGGGAUCGCUCUCAGCCAGCCUGCCCGACGCUUUAGAUAUUGGGGGCACGAGGCGGCGGGAGACCGCGCGUAUAGAAAUUUCUAUGCGGUCUCCAAGUUGGACCCGGAUCUGAGCCAUUUGGGAUCUAGAUGGAUCCAAUAUGGACCGCCUAAGGCCCCCGGCCCAAGGAAGGCCCACCGCAGUUCCAAAAAAGUUACCUAAUUUGUUUUUUUUGCUUCUUCAUUGCUUAUUUUCUUCCUAUAACAGUUUGUUUUACCUACCCUAAUUUCUCAAAUUAAUUCAUUUUAUUCCCUCCUCCAUAAAAAAUAUAAGUUCCUUUCACUCUAUUAGGCUCAUGUUCGAAUAAUUAUUCUAAACUUCCCCUUACACUAAUCUUUCUUUACUUUUUUUCCCUGACUUGUCUCGGUACACCCCAAAAUAGAGUGCUCUUAACUACCAAAAAAUAACAGAACAUAUUUUCACUCCAUCUACCAGCGUCAUGAAGAACAAUUUGCAAUGCAUAUGACAGCUAGAUUGAAGCUCCAAAUUCAGCAAAGAUAUAUUAUCAAUCAGAGUGUCUUUAAUUGUUAAAAAUAGAAAAAGAAGUGCAGCUUGGUUUGUUUGAAAAACUAAAAAAUGACAAAAAUAAAUAUUUCACAAGUGGUUUACAUCCAAUCUAUACUGAAGGAGUGAAUUUUCUUUAGAGUUUCAAGUGAUUCUACUUAUUUCACAUACUGAAAUAAACAGUUGGCUGAUUGUCAAUUUCCCAUGUAAGCUAACUAAUCAUAUCUUAAGAAAAAGUCAAAUAACUUCGCACUGUUCGCAACAAUACCAAGAAUCAGAUAUACUCCCACCCUAAAUAGCCUUGCAAAUUUAUAGCCAUAUUUCACAUGUAUUAAAUAUGACUAAUGCCAAAGCAUAUAUGAUCCAUCAGCAAGUUCAGCUAGAAGCAGAGUAGCCAAAUACUCCAGAAUAGCAGACAAGGAACCAACCAUGUAUCAAAAGGAUGCAACAACUAGGAGACGAUAAUACUGAAAGAAACUAAGCUAAGCAUAAAUAAUAACGAAUCAAAUCCUAAAAUUUAUUUCAAUGCCUAGUUUUAGUCAUCUAACAAUGUUGAUAUUUAUCAAAAGAAGGCCUUUU
rnacentral:lncRNA from 1 species